rnacentral:rRNA from 1 species
UACGUAGGGGGCAAGCGUUGUCCGGAUUUAUUGGGCGUAAAGAGCGUGUAGGCGGCCAAGCAGGUCCGCUGUGAAAACUCGAGGCUCAACCCCGAGACGUCGGUGGAAACCGUUUGGCUAGAGUCCGGAAGAGGAGAGUGGAAUUCCCGGUGUAGCGGUGAAAUGCGCAGAUAUCGGGAAGAACACCCGUGGCGAAGGCGGCUCUCUGGGACGGUACUGACGCUGAGACGCGAAAGCGUGGGGAGCGAACAGG